rnacentral:rRNA from 1 species
UACUAGCGCAGAUGCAGCCAACGCUGGCCAUCGAGGCCCUUCAACAGGAAGGUGACAAUACACAGCCGCCAGA